rnacentral:rRNA from 1 species
GUUGUAUAGUCAAGUAAUUAAGUGCAUGUGGUGGAUGCCUUGGCAGUCAGAGGCGAUGAAAGACGUGAUAGCCUGCGAAAAGCUCCGGGGAGGCGGCAAAUAUCCUUUGAUCCGGAGAUUUCUGAAUGGGGGAACCCACCCGCUAUAAGGCGGGUAUCAUAAACUGAAUACAUAGGUUUAUGAAGCGAACGAGGGGAAGUGAAACAUCUCAGUACCCUUAGGAAAAGAAAUCAAUUGAGAUUCCCUUAGUAGCGGCGAGCGAACGGGGAGCAGCCCAUUAAGUUAUGUGUGUUUUAGUGGAACGCUCUGGGAAGUGCGAACGUAGAGGGUGAUAUUCCCGUACACGAAAGGGCACACAUAAUGAUGACGAGUAGGGCGAGGCACGUGAAACCUUGUCUGAAUAUGGGGGGACCAUCCUCCAAGGCUAAAUACUCCUGACUGACCGAUAGUGAACCAGUACCGUGAGGGAAAGGCGAAAAGAACCCCUGUGAGGGGAGUGAAAUAGAUCCUGAAACCGCAUGCAUACAAGCAGUGGGAGCCGACUUGUUCGGUGACUGCGUACCUUUUGUAUAAUGGGUCAGCGACUUAUAUUCAGUAGCGAGGUUAACCGAAUAGGGGAGCCGUAGAGAAAUCGAGUCUUAAUAGGGCGUUUAGUUGCUGGGUAUAGACCCGAAACCAGGCGAUCUAUCCAUGAGCAGGUUGAAGGUUGGGUAACACUAACUGGAGGACCGAACCCACUGUCGUUGAAAAGCCAGGGGAUGACUUGUGGAUAGGGGUGAAAGGCUAAUCAAGCCUGGUGAUAGCUGGUUCUCCCCGAAAGCUAUUUAGGUAGCGCCUCGGACGAAUACCAUUGGGGGUAGAGCACUGUUUCGGCUAGGGGGUCAUCCCGACUUACCAAACCGAUGCAAACUCCGAAUACCAAUGAGUACUAUCCGGGAGACAGACUGCGGGUGCUAACGUCCGUAGUCAAGAGGAAAACAAUCCAGACCGCCAGCUAAGGCCCCAAAAUCAUAGUUAAGUGGGAAACGAUGUGGGAAGGCAUAGACAGCUAGGAGGUUGGCUUAGAAGCAGCCACCCUUUAAAGAAAGCGUAAUAGCUCACUAGUCGAGUCGGCCUGCGCGGAAGAUGUAACGGGGCUAAAACUAUGUGCCGAAGCUGCGGAUUUGACAUUAGUCAAGUGGUAGGGGAGCGUUCUGUAAGCCGAUGAAGGUGUAUUGAGAAGUAUGCUGGAGGUAUCAGAAGUGCGAAUGCUGACGUGAGUAACGACAAAACGGGUGAAAAACCCGUUCGCUGAAAGACCAAGGGUUCCAGUCCAACGUUAAUCGGGGCUGGGUGAGUCGACCCCUAAGGCGAGGCCGAGAGGCGUAGUCGAUGGGAAAUUGGUUAAUAUUCCAAUACUUCUGUGUAAUGCGAUGAGAGGACGGAGAAGGUUAAGUCAGCCUGGCGUUGGUUGUCCAGGUGGAAGACCNNNNNNNNNNNNNNNNNNNNNNNNNNNNNNNNNNNNNNNNNNNNNNNNNNNNNNNNNNNNNNNNNNNNNNNNNNNNNNNNNNNNNNNNNNNNNNNNNNGGUAGGCAUGCAUCUUAGGCAAAUCCGGGGUGCUCUAUGCUGAGAGUCGAUAGCAAGCUGUACUUGUACAGUGAAGUGGCUGAUACCAUGCUUCCAGGAAAAGUCUCUAAGCUUCAGUUACACAGGAAUCGUACCCGAAACCGACACAGGUGGUCAGGUCGAGUAGACCAAAGCGCUUGAGAGAACUCUGCUGAAGGAACUAGGCAAAAUGGUACCGUAACUUCGGGAGAAGGUACGCUGCUGACGGUGAUGGGACUUGCUCCCUGAGCGGUUGGCAGCCGCAGAAACCAGGCCGCUGCAACUGUUUAUUAAAAACAUAGCACUCUGCAAACACGAAAGUGGACGUAUAGGGUGUGAUGCCUGCCCGGUGCUGGAAGGUUAAUUGAUGGGGUUAGCGUAAGCGAAGCUCUUGAUCGAAGCCCCAGUAAACGGCGGCCGUAACUAUAACGGUCCUAAGGUAGCGAAAUUCCUUGUCGGGUAAGUUCCGACCUGCACGAAUGGCAUAAUGAUGGCGGCGCUGUCUCCAGCAGAGGCUCAGUGAAAUCGAAAUCGCUGUGAAGAUGCAGUGUACCCGCGGCUAGACGGAAAGACCCCGUGAACCUUUACUGCAGCUUGACAUUGAACUUUGACCUUACUUGUGUAGGAUAGGUGGGAGGCUUUGAAGUUGGAACGCUAGUUCCAAUGGAGCCGUCCUUGAAAUACCACCCUGGUAAUGUUGAGGUUCUAACUCUGUCCCGUAAUCCGGGACGAGGACCAUGUCUGGUGGGUAGUUUGACUGGGGCGGUCUCCUCCUAAAGAGUAACGGAGGAGUACGAAGGUGCGCUCAGCGUGGUCGGAAAUCACGCGUAGAGUAUAAAGGCAAAAGCGCGCUUAACUGCGAGACCCACAAGUCGAGCAGGUACGAAAGUAGGUCUUAGUGAUCCGGUGGUUCUGUAUGGAAGGGCCAUCGCUCAACGGAUAAAAGGUACUCUGGGGAUAACAGGCUGAUACCGCCCAAGAGUUCAUAUCGACGGCGGUGUUUGGCACCUCGAUGUCGGCUCAUCUCAUCCUGGGGCUGAAGCAGGUCCCAAGGGUAUGGCUGUUCGCCAUUUAAAGAGGUACGCGAGCUGGGUUUAGAACGUCGUGAGACAGUUCGGUCCCUAUCUACCGUGGGCGCUGGAAAUUUGAGAGGAUCUGCUCCUAGUACGAGAGGACCAGAGUGGACGAACCUCUGGUGUACCGGUUGUCACGCCAGUGGCAUCGCCGGGUAGCUAUGUUCGGAAGGGAUAACCGCUGAAAGCAUCUAAGCGGGAAGCCUACCUCAAGAUAAGAUUUCCCUAGGAAUUUAUUCCUCUAAAGAGCCGUUCGAGACUAGGACGUUGAUAGGUUGGGUGUGGAAGCACGGUGACGUGUGAAGCUGACCAAUACUAAUUGCUCGUGAGGCUUGACUAUACAACACCCAAACAGUUG